AGAGUUUGAUCCUGGCUCAGGAUGAACGCUAGCUACAGGCUUAACACAUGCAAGUCGAGGGGCAGCAUGGUCUUAGCUUGCUAAGGCCGAUGGCGACCGGCGCACGGGUGAGUAACACGUAUCCAACCUGCCGUCUACUCUUGGACAGCCUUCUGAAAGGAAGAUUAAUACAAGAUGGCAUCAUGAGUCCGCAUGUUCACAUGAUUAAAGGUAUUCCGGUAGACGAUGGGGAUGCGUUCCAUUAGAUAGUAGGCGGGGUAACGGCCCACCUAGUCUUCGAUGGAUAGGGGUUCUGAGAGGAAGGUCCCCCACAUUGGAACUGAGACACGGUCCAAACUCCUACGGGAGGCAGCAGUGAGGAAUAUUGGUCAAUGGGCGAGAGCCUGAACCAGCCAAGUAGCGUGAAGGAUGACUGCCCUAUGGGUUGUAAACUUCUUUUAUAAAGGAAUAAAGUCGGGUAUGCAUACCCGUUUGCAUGUACUUUAUGAAUAAGGAUCGGCUAACUCCGUGCCAGCAGCCGCGGUAAUACGGAGGAUCCGAGCGUUAUCCGGAUUUAUUGGGUUUAAAGGGAGCGUAGAUGGAUGUUUAAGUCAGUUGUGAAAGUUUGCGGCUCAACCGUAAAAUUGCAGUUGAUACUGGAUAUCUUGAGUGCAGUUGAGGCAGGCGGAAUUCGUGGUGUAGCGGUGAAAUGCUUAGAUAUCACGAAGAACUCCGAUUGCGAAGGCAGCCUGCUAAGCUGCAACUGACAUUGAGGCUCGAAAGUGUGGGUAUCAAACAGGAUUAGAUACCCUGGUAGUCCACACGGUAAACGAUGAAUACUCGCUGUUUGCGAUAUACGGCAAGCGGCCAAGCGAAAGCGUUAAGUAUUCCACCUGGGGAGUACGCCGGCAACGGUGAAACU
rnacentral:rRNA from 1 species